AAAAUCCGUGGCACUUGGGCCUGAGAUGUGAUGCCGAGCCGUUUUUGGUGAAGUGAGUGAUCCCAUGCUGCCGAGAAAAGCCUCUAGUGAGUGUGAUUGCGGCCCGUACCCUAAACCGACUCAGGUGGUCAGGUAGAGAAUACUAAGGCGAUCGGGUGAACUGUGGUUAAGGAACUCGGCAAAUUGCCCCCGUAACUUUGGGAGAAGGGGGGCCAUGUCCGGUGAUCAGGCGUGCCCUGUGAGCUGGGUGUGGUCGCAGAUACCAGGGGGAAGCGACUGUUUACUAAAAACACAGGUCCGUGCGAAGUCGUAAGACGCUGUAUACGGACUGACGCCUGCCCGGUGCCGGAACGUUAAGAGGACCGGUUAGAACCUUUGGGUUCGAAGCUGAGAAUCUAAGCGCCGGUAAACGGCGGUGGUAACUAUAACCAUCCUAAGGUAGCGAAAUUCCUUGUCGGGUAAGUUCCGACCUGCACGAAUGGCGUAACGACUUCCCCACUGUCUCAACCACAGGCCCGGCGAAAUUGCAUUACGAGUAAAGAUGCUCGUUACGCGCAGCAGGACGGAAAGACCCCGGGACCUUCACUAUAGCUUGGCAUUGGCGUUUGGAGCGUCUUGUGUAGGAUAGGUGGGAGACUGUGAAGCUCGGACGCCAGUUCGGGUGGAGUCAUUGGUGAAAUACCACUCUGGUCGUUUCGGGCGUCUAACCCGGGCCCAUGAUCUGGGUCGGGGACAGUGCCUGGUGGGUAGUUUAACUGGGGCGGUUGCCUCCUAAAAGGUAACGGAGGCGCCCAAAGGUUCCCUCAGCCUGGUUGGCAAUCAGGUGGCGAGUGCAAGGGCACAAGGGAGCUUGACUGUGAGACAGACAUGUCGAGCAGGUGCGAAAGCAGGGCCUAGUGAUCCGGCGGUGGCAUGUGGAAGCGCCGUCGAUCAACGGCUAAAAGGUACCCCGGGGAUAACAGGCUGAUCUUCCCCAAGAGUCCAUAUCGACGGGAUGGUUUGGCACCUCGAUGUCGGCUCGUCGCAUCCUGGGGCUGGAGUAGGUCCCAAGGGUUGGGCUGUUCGCCCAUUAAAGCGGCACGCGAGCUGGGUUUAGAACGUCGCGAGACAGUUCGGUCCCUAUCCGCUGCGCGCGUAGGAGACUUGAGAGGGUCUGUCCCUAGUACGAGAGGACCGGGACGGACGAACCUCUGGUGUGCCAGUUGUUCUGCCAAGAGCAUGGCUGGUUGGCUACGUUCGGUCGGGAUAACCGCUGAAAGCAUCUAAGCGGGAAGCCUUCCUCGAGAUGAGGUCUCCCUCCCACUUCGGUGGGGUAAGGCCCCCAGCUAGACCACUGGGUUGAUAGGCCGGAGAUGGAAGCAUCGCAAGGUGUGGAGUCGACCGGUACUAAUAGGCCGAGCGGCUUGA
rnacentral:rRNA from 1 species